rnacentral:rRNA from 1 species
UACGGGGGGGGCAAGCGUUGUUCGGAAUUACUGGGCGUAAAGGGCCAGUAGGCGGCCAACUAAGUCGGAUGUGAAAUCCCCAGGCUCAACCUGGGAACUGCAUCCGAUACUGGAUGGCUUGAAUUCGGGAGAGGGAUGCAGAAUUCCAGGUGUAGCGGUGAAAUGCGUAGAUAUCUGGAGGAAUACCGGUGGCGAAGGCGGCAUCCUGGACCGACAUUGACGCUGAACGGCGAAAGCUAGGGGAGCGAAACAGG